UCAGUUGUGAAAGUUUGCGGCUCAACCGUAAAAUUGCAGUUGAAACUGGCAGUCUUGAGUACAGUAGAGGUGGGCGGAAUUCGUGGUGUAGCGGUGAAAUGCUUAGAUAUCACGAAGAACUCCGAUUGCGAAGGCAGCCUGCUAAGCUGCAACUGACAUUGAGGCUCGAAAGUGUGGGUAUCAAACAGGAUUAGAUACCCUGGUAGUCCACACGGUAAACGAUGAAUACUCGCUGUUUGCGAUAUACGGCAAGCGGCCAAGCGAAAGCGUUAAGUAUUCCACCUGGGGAGUACGCCGGCAACGGUGAAACUCAAAGGAAUUGACGGGGGCCCGCACAAGCGGAGGAACAUGUGGUUUAAUUCGAUGAUACGCGAGGAACCUUACCCGGGCUUAAAUUGCACUCGAAUGAUCCGGAAACGGUUCAGCUAGCAAUAGCGAGUGUGAAGGUGCUGCAUGGUUGUCGUCAGCUCGUGCCGUGAGGUGUCGGCUUAAG
rnacentral:rRNA from 1 species